GGACUACCAGGGUAUCUAAUCCUGUUUGCUACCCACGCUUUCGUGCCUCAGCGUCAGUUACAGUUUAGCGAGCUGCCUUCGCAAUUGGUGUUCUGUGUCAUAUCUAAGCAUUUCACCGCUACAUGACACAUUCCGCCCACCUCAACUGUACUCAAGACUAACAGUAUCAAUGGCAAUUCUACAGUUAAGCUGUAGGCUUUCACCACUGACUUAUUAAUCCGCCUACGCACCCUUUAAACCCAAUAAAUCCGGAUAACGCUUGGAUCCUCCGUAUUACCGCGGCUGCUGGCAC
rnacentral:rRNA from 1 species